rnacentral:rRNA from 1 species
AAUCUGCCCAGUAUGGGGGACAACAUUCGGAAACGGAUGCUAAUACCGCAUACGCCCUACGGGGGAAANCCGGGGGAUCUUCGGACCUCGCGCUAUUGGAUGAGCCUAAGUCGGAUUAGCUUGUUGGUGAGGUAAAAGCUCACCAAGGCGACGAUCCGUAGCUGGUCUGAGAGGACGAUCAGCCACACUGGGACUGAGACACGGCCCAGACUCCUACGGGAGGCAGCAGUGGGGAAUAUUGGACAAUGGGCGCAAGCCUGAUCCAGCAAUGCCGCGUGUGUGAAGAAGGCCUGCGGGUUGUAAAGCACUUUCAGUAGAGAAGAAAAGCCUACGGUUAAUACCCGUGAGUCUUGACGUAACCUACAGAAGAAGCACCGGCUAACUCCGUG